ACUUUGGGGCACGUUCUGUAAAGAGGAAAUGUGACCGCACUAAAAUGCACAGCAAAAAGGAAACUGAGAGCAAAAGGCAACUGAAGGGAUAUAUAACUGUCACUUAGUUAGACAAACUGCUUUGAAGAAGCAAUGAAGGGGUUCAGACACCUUUCGUAGUCUUGUGAUUUUCCACAUCUUAUGACAAUACUGCUCCGGUCAAUUCAAGAGGGUGGGGCAGGAAGCACACAAACUAAAAGCUUUCAUAAAGAGGAAGAGACUUUCUUGGCUUGUUGACUGGAGCAGGGUAGCUGCCUGAGGACCUAACAGACUCAUCAGAGGACUCUGUUGGAAGGUUGCCCAACAGAAUAGAGAACACAGCCAUUCUUCUAAAUCCCAAACCUCAUCACAGUCUCACUGUGUAUGUGUCAACGGAGGAGAGAACAGAGAGGACUGUUGGAGAGAGAACCAGAGGAGGAUGAAGUCUAUCAAAUUAGAUCAGUCGGCUACAGUCGAUGAGCUUACGGAGGCCUGCAUCAAAGCAUUUGAUUAUGAAGGCAGGCUGAAUGAUGAGUCUCUGGUCCGGAUGUUUCUCAUGAUGCAUCCAUGGUACCUCUCCUCUGCUGACCUGGCCAAGAAACUCUCCAGCAAGUCGCUGGAGGAAAACUGUCUGCCUGAACUCAGGUUACAAAUCUGCCAUCUUAUCAAGUACUGGAUCAGCGAGUUCCCAGCAGAGUUUGACCUGAACCCAGAGCUGGCAGAGCAGAUCAGAAGGCUGAAGGAGCAGCUGGCUCAGCAGGGAGAGGAGCACCAGAGCACACUCAUCAACGUUGACAGUGUGCCGUCAUAUGAGUGGAGUAGGCAGGUGAGCCAACCAGCUCAGUCUGAUUUCAAGAAGAGGAAGACGUCUCUCCUCUUUGAUCACCUGGACUCAUCUGAACUAGCAGAGCACCUCACCUACAUGGAGUAUAAGUCCUUCUGUAGGAUACUGUUCCAGGACUACCACAGCUUUGUGAUGCAUGGCUGCACAGUGGAUAACCCCAUCCUGGAGCGCUUCAUCACCCUCUUCAACAGCGUGUCUCAGUGGAUCCAGCUGAUGGUGCUCAGCAAGCCCACCGCCCCCCAGAGGGCUGCAGUCAUCUCCCACUUUAUUAGGGUCGCACAGAGGUUGUUACAGCUGCAGAACUUCAACACUCUGAUGGCAGUAGUGGGGGGUCUCAGUAACAGCUCCAUCUCACGCCUCAAAGACACACAGUCACACAUCAGCAACGAUGUGAGCAAGGUGUUCAACAACCUGGUGGAGCUUGUGACAUCCUGUGGGAACUAUAGCCAGUACCGCCAGCGCUUCUCAGAGAGCACAGGCUUCCGUUUCCCCAUCCUGGGUGUGCACCUCAAGGACCUAAUUGCUGUGCACGUAGCCCUGCCCGACUGGAGUGACCGGGAGAAGACGCAGGUCAACCUGGCCAAGACCCAACAGCUCUAUGCCAUCCUCCAGGAGCUUGCGCUGAUCCAGACCAUGCCACCCAGCGUUGAUGCCAACAUGGACCUGCUCAACCUGCUCAUGGUGUCUCUGGACCAGUAUCACUCAGAGGAAGAGAUCUAUCAGCUGUCCCUGCAGAGGGAGCCCCGCACAGCCAGGCCAUUGUCUACCCCAAGCCCACCUAUGAUAGAAGAGUGGGCAUCUUCAGUGAAGCCCAAAGCUGACCCCACCAUCAUCAGUAAACACAUACAGAAGAUGGUAGAGUCUGUGUUUAAGAAUUUUGACACUGAUGGAGACGGCUACGUCACUCAGGAGGAAUUUGAGAUCAUUAGGACUAACUUCCCAUACCUCUGCAAGUUUGACGACCUGGAUAAGAAUCAGGACGGCAGAAUCAGUCAGGAGGAGAUGAUCGACUACUUCACCAAGGCCAGCUCUUUACUGAACAGCAAGAUGGGGUUCAUCCACACAUUUUCAGAGAAGACCUGCAUGAAGCCUAUGCUUUGCCAUCACUGUAAAGGCAUCAUGUGGGGAUUUUACAAACAAAGAUACAAGUGUAAAGCCUGUGGGGUGAGCUGCCACAAAGAUUGUCGCAGCCGCCUUGCUGUGGAGUGCCGCAAACGAACACAGAGCACCUGUCACGAAUACCGUUCUCCCCAACACUCCCGUUCCUUCAGUGUGCCUGCUAUAGCUCAGCCGUUACACACUGUACACCAUACAGGUACAAGCACACCGCCCAAUUCACCUCUCUUUUCAUUUAUGUUCAAAUCUUUACCUGGAUGUUUCAAACUUACUGUAGUCUUGAAGCACAAGGACUGGUACAGUACUUUUUUUUACAGCUUUUUGCAAUUUGUUAUGGUAUAUUUUGUCAAUUUAGUGCAUAUUAUCUCAUGUCAAUAGCUGGAACAAAUGAACUUUUGCUCCUGUCCAAUCUACUUGAAACAUUGUCAUUGUAAUAAAGAUGAAUGGCUCAAUCUCACAUUAAUAUAUUCAUAUUCAUAAGCCUAUAAGCUUCUAUACCGUAGAUUAGGGGUCAGCAAUAGGUGGCCCAUAGGCCAAAAUCAGUCCCACGAGUGAUUUUUUUGGGUCCCAGCAUUUUUUAAAUUCUCGUUUUUUGGUCAGAAAAGACUCAAAUCACCAGGAAUUCAGCUCAAUAUUUGUUUAAUUUAGGAAAUAUGUUCAAGUAUUCCCAUGAAUACAAAAAGAGACAUGAUCAUAUCUCAAUGUCAUCAAGGUAUGAACUUAUUGUUAUUUUUAAAUGCUAUCUCUUUUUGGGCUUAGUUGUGGUCAAUUUACAGUGUACAAAUUAUUAUAAUUACGGUCCGUUCAGUGGCUGAAUCUAGUUUUCUACCCGUAGACAUCUUGGUAUAACCAUGAACAGAUACAUAGUUACCAUAGUUACACGUGUGUAUUUUUAUUCAGUGCAAAUGCUUUUGAACGCUGCUGUUCUCCAAUAUGGCUGAUGGGGUGCCCUUAACACAGAGGGACUUUGUUCUCUCUCCCCAGUCAUUACAGAGGAAGCUCCUGACUCCCUGGGGGAUGAAGUGUUUGAUGUCCACCUUUGAGGAGAAUAAGGACCAACACUGAGGACAAAAACAACAAUGACUGCCCAUGUUCCAUGCAGCAACGGCACUCUGAAGAUCUCAGUGUGAUGGAAACGUUAUGCUCCUGUUUGAAGAUGCAACGCAUGUUAGGAACAUUCCAAUUUUCCAGUUUAAGAGCAUUUCGAAUCUGAGGAAGGAUUUUUAAAAUUCAUCCUUCAUCUGAUUGAUUCAUCCUUCAUCUGAUUGAUUCAUCCUUCAUCUGAUAGAUUGAUCCUUUUCUGAUGGAUUCAUCCUUGAUUCAUCUUUCAACAUCAUAUUAUUUGCUCACAGCUUUCACAGUAGAUAAACCUACAGUAUAUGCAUAUCCCUGUGUGUAUUUGUAUGUGGUUCAUGACUGCAGAAGAUUGCUUCUCCACUAGAUGAGGCUGUUUGUGUGUGACAACACUGGAUAGUGUAGGCUACCACUGCCUUUUUACGUUCCCUGUUUUUAGUGUUGCCUUGUUUGUGUGGUCUAGUUGAGUAGGAAAAAUGUGGGAGUGGAUUGUUAAUGACAAGAUCAAUUGAUGUUAUUUCCUCAACUAGACAAUCCUGUGGUACUAUUUAAAAGACAGACAUACUGUAAUUAUUUUAAAAUAUAAAAUUAUAAAUAUAGUGAUAUCAUACUACAGAAACCACUCCACAGGUUUGUUCUACCUUUAUACAUAUGGGCUUCAGUGACACUGUAAAAUGGGAGAGCAGCACAUACAGGCUACAUUUUAAACUAUCAUUUUGAAAUAUAUUCAAAACUGAUCAAAAAUGAUGAAUGUGGUGACAUGUAAAAAAAUAUUGUGAUUUAUCCUAAAUAAAUGUUAUGCAGUUAUCAACUCUGAAA